UGUUGAUUAGCCAUCGCUGUGGGGCAGCUAAUUCUGACGCCCGACCACACGCCACAGCCAGCACUGAAGAGGCAGCAGCCGGAAAAAGACACGAGAGAGGGAGGACAAGAUGAAUGCAGGACGGCUACCAACCAUUGUAUGGUAAACAGAUUCAGCGUUUAUGAGAACGUAAAGAAGCUCCCCAGAGACGCGCACACUCACGUAUGUGUGAAGACUUGAGCGCGGUGUGAGAGAGGAGCUUCGCCUUGGAGACCAAUUUACAGCAGAAUGACUGACACACGGCAAUCGGAGCUGAAAAGAGUGGUGGAGCAUUUGGUCUGCACCUUGAAGGCCCUUGAUUCAUGACAACAUUCCUGAGUGAAGCAAAGCAUUAAGCUACAAGAUAACCCUUGGACUUGAAGUUUAGCACUUUUUUUGCUUUAUUUUCUCCCCCCACGAAAAAAUUGUUUGUUGUUGACGCUUUAAUACAUAAAGCACCUACGAUUAUGCAUAAUAUGCCGUCAUCAGGGUCAGGUAUUAAAAAGGUUUUAAGUCAAGAAUGGCACAUUUGCUAAGAAUAAGCCAUGGGUAUUUAAAACGUGGAUCAAAAAAAGUUAAUUGUGUUUAUCUGUGAUCCAUACACAUCAAUGUAUGGUUAUAAAUAUAUAUAAUAUAUUAUAAUAUUAUAUAUUUAAAUUAUGAAUUAGUUAAUUAAAGACUAACUGACAACAAACUGUUUUAUUUUGU